ensembl:lncRNA
CUUGGGGCCACCAGUCCUAGAUAGGCCAAUUAAAGAAACCAAUCAUAGUGAAACACAGGAAAGGGAGAUUGACAUCAUACGAUCACCUAAAAGUGAGGAACAAAGAGGUUCGCUGGGUCCUCCCCUCCCCAAUCAUUCUUCAGGUUCCUAACAUGAGGUUUGGGUUUAAGUACAGGGAAGGGAGUAUGCAUAACUCUGCAUCCUUGGCCCAUCAUUGUCUAGGCUUCAGUCUCUCCUGCAGGGUGGCCAGACAAGUUACCGGAAUGGUGAAAUUUCUUCCUGGAAGACAAGCUCCUUCUUUGGCUGGUACCAAGUUCAGUCUUUUCCUUUCCCCAGCACAAGACUCUUGGGGGGCACUUCAGUUUCUUUUAGGCCAUGUUUUCAGUAGCUUGAUAGUCAAAGAAAGGAUCCCUUGUCACUUUCCAGUAUCUUUGCUCCUGCCAGGAAGGCUAAACACGUUGGCCUGGAACUCUCUCUGGUAGUUGAUGUUGACUUCAUACUUAAUAGAAAUCCUCCUCCUGCAUCAGCCUCUUGAGUUCUGGCUUACAGACUUUAGCCACCACAGUCAGCUAUUUUUUUUAAUUUAAAAUCAAGGCUCUCAAUCCAUCCCUUGGGAAUAUUUCCAGGGUACUGGAGAGCUUGAUGUGAUUAAAUGAGGGGGGGGAAAGAGCCUACCCAGACUAUAUUCUGUUACUAGGCUUCAGGCCACUAAAUCUGAACUUAUGCUUCCCAGAUAUAGGACAUCAUGAUGUUGGCUCAAUUUCGGUAUCUUAGUGUCUGCAUGGGACCUGCAGCUGAGUGAGACAUGCCCACUAUUAUUUUCACCUAAAAAUCAAAUACAGGUGAAGUCUCUUCCUCCUCCCCAGAAACCACCCAGGAGGAAACUGAUGCUGUGAUUCUAGCCACCCAACAGCUAUCAAAUUGCCUAAAAUAUCCCGGGCUCAUCACUCCCAAGUCAAGCUUUGGAAGUCAAGUGAAAAAAUCCACAGGAGGAGCCCAGUGGAUAGAUGCUCUUGUGAGCCAAUCAGGGGUUCUGGAGGACAUUAAUGUAGCAAGAUAAAAAAAAAAUUAAAAAAAAGGCCCAGAGACUGGAGUUCAAGCUUGAAACUGAAGAUCAGAAAAGCUAGCCACUAACUCUUACCUCUAGCUCAGGCUGUAAGGUGAUCCUGGCUCCACUAAAGCUCAGACUGAAAUCCCAGACUUGCUAUGCUGUCCUCAACAAGGCUGGAGAAUCCUGAGACUUCCUAUCUUCGGUAUGUCUGGAGAAGGAAUGCCAGCUCUGAGACCCUGUUCCUGCCUUAAAUACCUCUCACGAGUCCUGGAAUUAAAGGCGUGAGCUCUGUUACUCUUUUAGACUGAUUCAAUCUUGUGCAGGCCUGGGUAGCCUUGAACUCACAGAGAUCCAUCCGCCUUUGUCUCCCCCUGGGAUUAAAGGUGUGUUCCACCACUGCCUGACCUCUAUUGCUUGUGGCUGACUUUGCUUUCUGGAUCAUCAGGCAAGCUUUAAUAAAUCAUAAAAAUCAUAUCACCAUACUUUAAUUCAGACCUUUAAAAAGCUCCGGCUUCCUCUGGUUCUCUGCCUUGGACUUGUAAUGCCACUAACACUUGUCUUUGCUUCUCCCUCAUAUCUCUAUUUAGGGACCAGCCAAGGUUUGUUUUUUCCUCUCUACACUUGGCUGUAUUACUAAUGGCACCACCAAUAUAAUCUUAACAUUCCCUAGAUAGUCUCCUAGAUGCACUGGAGGGGUACCAGGACUGCCAUACCCAGUGACUCCAACCUGCAGGAAGAAGCCAGAUUUGGCCAUUGCUCCAAUUCCUGAAGGAAGCAUGAUGAGAGCAGGCAUUAGAAGCUGACCAGGAAGAGCAGGGAUUCCAAAGCAGCAAACCCAAGGAUGUCGGAAGAGUCUGAGUCUGUUACCUCCUCUAGAUGAAGACCUCUGAAAAUCCACCGUGAGGAUGAAACUGAGAGGAGGCACCCAGACACCUGGAUGGGUAACUGAGCUGAACAGCUCAUCCGCCUCUCAUAAGUCACCCCAGUGUAACAGUUCAAACCUAUUUCCCAGAACCCUUCUUACUAUCUCUCUUUUUCUUUUAA